AGGGUGACAGCCCCGUACACAAAAGCGCAUGUGCUGUGAGCUCGAUGAGUAGGGCGGGACACGUGGUAUCCUGUCUGAAUAUGGGGGGACCAUCCUCCAAGGCUAAAUACUCCUGACUGACCGAUAGUGAACCAGUACCGUGAGGGAAAGGCGAAAAGAACCCCGGCGAGGGGAGUGAAAAAGAACCUGAAACCGUGUACGUACAAGCAGUGGGAGCACCUUCGGGUGUGACUGCGUACCUUUUGUAUAAUGGGUCAGCGACUUAUAUUCUGUAGCAAGGUUAACC
rnacentral:rRNA from 1 species